CAAAACGACCGGUUUGAAAGUGUGAAAAUAUUAGGUCAUUUUGGCACUUUUUUGCCGCUUCGUUUGUUGCACAUACACACAAAUUUGGUGUUUCCUCCAAUAAGCACACAUACAUACAUACUAACCAAUGUUCAAUUUAGGAUGAAAAAAGUUGGAAGAAGCAGAAGAAGAAGAAGAGAGAAAAGUGGAAAA
ensembl:ncRNA C27F2.11 ncRNA